CCCCCGCCGCAAGUGGAUAAUAUUAAUAGUGUAAAAAUAUGCAAGUGUUCGGUAAACAGGAAGUUGUCGAGUGAUGAAUCUGAAAACGCAUCACACGGUAUAGCUGACUUAUAAAAAUCCUGAAACCAAAUUUCAGAAAUCCUUGUAUUGUAGUUCCUGAGAAAAAUGUGACGAAAAUUUUUAACUUGGUUAUCAUGUGUAGAAUCAUACAAGUGUUCGGUAAACAGGAAGUAGUCGAGUGAUGAAUCUGAAAACGCA
rnacentral:lncRNA from 1 species